rnacentral:rRNA from 1 species
UACGAGGGGAGCUAGCGUUGUUCGGAAUUACUGGGCGUAAAGGGCGCGUAGGCGGUCCUAUAAGUCAGAUGUGAAAGCCCCGGGCUUAACCUGGGAGGUGCAUUUGAAACUGUAGAACUUGAGAUCGAGAGAGGAAAGUGGAAUUACGAGUGUAGAGGUGAAAUUCGUAGAUAUUCGGAAGAACACCAGUGGCGAAGGCGGCUCACUGGUCCGGUACUGACGCUGAGGUGCGAAAGCGUGGGGAGCAAACAGG